UCUAUCUGAAAGCAGAGAGAAAACUAAUUAUUCUCCGCCUCUCAUCUCUGGUCUCUCUAUCUCCUUCGCACUCACCUUCACAUAAAUCUCACUCAAUUGAUUUAUCUCUUUCUAUAAAACUCACUCAAUUGGAAAUCUCUCUUUGUACAAAACUCACUCGAUCUGUUUCGGAGACUAGGGGUUUAUUGCUGAGUUUUGUGCAAACAGGGAUGAAGUUGAUGAUGAAGAUACAAAAGAAGAAAAAGACGCUUAAAAAUUAUGAUUUCAGGGUUUAUUGUUGUGGUCUUUAUCUACGGCAAAAAGGAUAAAAUUCUUUCACUCAAUCUCUUCUCGAUUUUUCUUUUUAUCAUUGUUUUGGUACAAUUACAUGAUUAGGGGUUUUAUUGAUUUUUGGGCUUUUGAUUUCAGGGUUCACUAUUAAGGUUAUUCUCCAUCUCUACAAGGAAAAGGGGUUCACUGUGAAGAGAAGAGCUUAUGUGGAUGGUUGGGUGGUGGUUGUGAGUGGUGAUGACAGUUGCAGUAUAUGAAAAUCAAGAGUGGGAGAACCUAAUGUUGGCUAAAGAAUACCUACGCAAAGGUUAGUGAAUCAAAACCUUCAUACCCAUCCUCCAAAUCAGAGUCGGGACUUGUUGAUUGGGACAAGUUAAGAGGCAGGAAUAAUAUUUUCUAACUCUGAUCCGUGCCUUUUUGCUUUCGUUUGUGAUGUCAAUGACUUGGUUGUGCUAUAGGUAGAGAAAGGUAGACAUAAUGUUGAUGAUGAGGCCAAGCCGACAUGUCUUGUUCAGUUUCAGCUUCAGUUUCCUAGAUCUCCCAACGGUGAAGGAGGAUCUUAUGAUGUCAAAUGGAAAAGAGUUACGCCCAUCCUUGGAUUGGACCUCAGAGAUGGGUUGGACUGCACCCAUAUCCAAGGAGAUUCAUCACUUGAGGGAUCAACUGGUGAAUAUUUUCUCAGUUGAAAGGAGAUUGUUUCAAGUUUAAGCUAUUAUGCUUGGAUCAACUGCGAUAGGCUUGAAAAGUAAAGGUGUAGUGGUUGUUGUUAAGAAGAGUAUCACUUCCCCACUACUGUUUAGUUUUCUUCCAAACCACUUUCUCCUUCACAAGCUGGUAGAGCGCUGGGGAAGGCUGGUGUAUGCAAAUAUUCAGUAGCUGAUUCAGUUCCAGACCAUAGUUGAUGUUGCUGCUCUUUCCGAUAAUCUUUAUGGAUGCAGUCACUCUCUUACCGAUGGUCUAAUGAUCGAGGGGCACUGAUGUCAUGAUUGUUGGUAAGAUCGCUGUUGUUGCUGGAUACAGAGAUGUUGGAAAGGGUUGUGCUUCUGCAAUUCUGCUCUCAAGCUGGUGCCCAGGUGAUGGAUCACUAAAAUUGAUGUUGAAAUUUUUAGAACUUGUAGCACUUGUCUUUAAGAAAGCUUGAACUUAUAAAUUAGGAGUUGAAUCCUUUUGUAUGAUUUUGAAUUAAUUUACGAGUACAAUGUAAUGUAAUGGAAUUCUCAUCUUGUGUGGAUGAAUAAGGUUAUAAAAUUGUCAUUUUAAUUUUAGUGUUUGAA